UAGGGAAUCUUCGGCAAUGGACGAAAGUCUGACCGAGCAACGCCGCGUGAGUGAAGAAGGUUUUCGGAUCGUAAAACUCUGUUGUUAGAGAAGAACAAGGACGUUAGUAACUGAACGUCCCCUGACGGUAUCUAACCAGAAAGCCACGGCUAACUACGUGCCAGCAGCCGCGGUAAUACGUAGGUGGCAAGCGUUGUCCGGAUUUAUUGGGCGUAAAGCGAGCGCAGGCGGUUUCUUAAGUCUGAUGUGAAAGCCCCCGGCUCAACCGGGGAGGGUAAUUGGAAACUGGGAGACUUGAGUGCAGAGGAGGAGAGUGGAAUUCCAUGUGUAGCGGUGAAAUGCGUAGAUAUAUGGAGGAACACCAGUGGCGAAGGCGGCUCUCUGGUCUGUAACUGACGCUGAGGCUCGAAAGCGUGGGGAGCAAACAGG
rnacentral:rRNA from 1 species